rnacentral:rRNA from 1 species
CACGUAGCUAGUCGUGGCUUUCUUGAAAAGUACCGUCAAGUAGAACUCAUUUCCUAAUUCUACCAUUCUUUCUUAACAACAGAGUUUUACAACCCAUAGGGCCUUCAUCACUCACGCGGCAUUGCUCGUUCAGGGUUUCCCCCAUUGACGAAUAUUCCUAACUGCUGUCUCCCGUAGGAGUCUGGGCCGUGUCUCAGUCCCAGUGUGGCCGAUUAACCUCUCAGUUCGGCUACGCAUCGCUGUCUUGGUAGGCCAUUACCCCACCAACUAACUAAUACGCCGCAGGCCCAUCUCUAAGCGAAGCUUUAAGGGCUUCUUUACUCCGUAGAGCACAUUCGGUAUUAUCAACCGUUUCCAGUUUGUUAUCCCCAAUUAGAGGCAGGUAACCCACGUGUUACUCACCCGUUUGCCACUAGGUGGAAAAUCCGAAAUCCAUCUUUGUGCAAGCACUCAGACUUCAAGUCGGCCACUCGUUCGACUUGCAUGUCUUAGGCGUGCCGCAGCGUU